CCUACGGGCGGCAGCAGUGAGGAAUAUUGGUCAAUGGACGAGAGUCUGAACCAGCCAAGUAGCGUGAAGGAUGACUGCCCUAUGGGUUGUAAACUUCUUUUAUAUGGGAAUAAAAUGUUCCACGUGUGGGCUUUUGUAUGUACCAUAUGAAUAAGGAUCGGCUAACUCCGUGCCAGCAGCCGCGGUAAUACGGAGGAUCCGAGCGUUAUCCGGUGUUAUUGGGUUUAAAGGGAGCGUAGGUGGAUUGUUAAGUCAGUUGUGAAAGUUUGCGGCUCAACCGUAAAAUUGCAGUUGAAACUGGCAGUCUUGAGUACAGGAGAGGUGGGCGGAAUUCGUGGUGUAGCGGUGAAAUGCUUAGAUAUCACGAAGAACUCCGAUUGCGAAGGCAGCUCACUGGACUGCAACUGACACUGAGGCUCGAAAGUGUGGGUAUCAAACAGGAGUAGAUACCCUGGUAGUC
rnacentral:rRNA from 1 species